rnacentral:rRNA from 1 species
AUGCCAGCCCGCUCAUCCAAGACCACAGAUACGCACCAUGCAGCUGAGAUGCAUCCCAACUCCAGCGCAUAUAAAUACACACACGACCCAACUCCACAACCACACACAAGUGAAGCACUUGCCUUUGAAGUUAGACCGAUCGAGCUUGCAGGUCCGAGGAGAUCAAGGAGGAGGAUGCCGUGGGACAUGAGCAAGACGUCUUGGCCAGAGGUGGUGGGCUGGCCGGCGACGCAGGCCGUGACGCAGAUCAACGCCGACAGACCCGACGUGGCGAUAGAGGUGAUCCCCAAUGGCACCACCGUCGCCCCGGGGUACAAUGCCGAGCGCGUCCGCGUCUUCUUUGCCGCCACCGGCCUCGUCGUGUCCACCCCUGCCGUCGGCUAG